UUGGUUUGGUGUGAUUGAUUU
ensembl:piRNA 21ur-903 ncRNA